GUGUGAUUUGUAGCAAGUAAUGACUCACCUCACUUAAAAAUCAGAUCGACGCACGCAGAGUUGAACUGGCAGCAAGCGUGGGAGCGGAGGAAGCAGCUAGGCUACAUGCACGCCAUUGGGAAAUUAUUGAUAAACUCCGGCAGAGUAUCUUGGCCCGGAAAAUAACGAAGCUGGAAAGAGACGCGGAGGACUACGCGCACGAGAGAAUGUACACGUGGCGACUAGACAGAGAGAGGCAGCGGUCAGAGGAGGGAUCUCCAAGAACCAGACUGCCAGGCCACAGAUCACAAAGACGCCCUUGGGGAAAUAGACGCAACUUCAACUGGCACACGCACCGGGGAAGGGGGCGCAGAAAGGCCCAGAGAACAGAACAAUUCCAGGCUUCCGAUCAUCAGGGACAGUUACCCCCAUAUACUGUAAUCUCAGCUACUUUGCGCAGAUGAAGUUACUUUACAGGCACUAACUUGUACUGUAAUA